GCUUUGUCCACAAAUCAUAGCAGCCAAAUUUGGAGCCAAUCUAGAGGACAGAUAUUCAACUCAAUGACUUCACUGAACCGCACGAGAGACCAGAGAAACCAGACGAAGAUUGAAAGGAUUCAAAGCCUCGUGCAGAUUUUGCUGAUGUUUGUUGAGGAUGAGGAUCACACACUGUGUCUGUGGCGGAGCAGUCCCGCGAGGGCAAAGAGAGCAGAGCUGGAGCUCAGAGACGCCUGACUUCUGCCUGCCCUUCAGACAGCAACUCCUCCACAAGGUUUUGUGUGAUCACCGGCCUGACAUUAAAGAGAUGCUGCAAGAAAAGAAAUGGGCUUAUCUGAAUGCGGCGCUUUAAUGGGAGAUGUCCUCCGGGCGGCGGGCAAGGUCAGGGCCCGCUGGGGCCAUGGAGACACGAGGGCGCUCUGGACGAGAUCACGAGCCCCGCCUCCCCUCCAGAGUCACUGCACCGUCUCACCGCUGAACACUCUUCACAACGUUCAUGCAUGUGACUUUCUUUCUUUUUGUGGAACACAAAAGAGCUUCUGAGGAAUCUUCUAACUGUUAUCCAUUAUCCAGAUCAUAGGCCUCCUGCAACA
ensembl:lncRNA